UACGUAGGGUGCAAGCGUUGUCCGGAAUUAUUGGGCGUAAAGGGCUCGUAGGCGGUCUGUUGCGUCGGGAGUGAAAAUUCACAGCUUAACUGUGAACUUGCUUCCGAUACGGGCAGACUUGAGGUAUUCAGGGGAGAACGGAAUUCCUGGUGUAGCGGUGAAAUGCGCAGAUAUCAGGAGGAACACCGGUGGCGAAGGCGGUUCUCUGGGAAUAUCCUGACGCUGAGGAGCGAAAGUGUGGGGGAGCGAACAGG
rnacentral:rRNA from 1 species